rnacentral:rRNA from 1 species
GCAAGAUUAAAACUCAAAGGAAUAGACGGGGACCCGCACAAGUGGUGGAGCAUGUGGUUUAAUUCGAAGAUACGCGAAGAACCUUACCUAGCCUUGACAUAUUUUAGAACUCAGCAGAGAUGCAGAGGUGCCUUCGGGAGCUAAUUUACAGGUGCUGCACGGCUGUCGUCAGCUCGUGUCGUGAGAUGUUGGGUUAAGUCCCGCAACGAGCGCAACCCUCGUCACUAGUUACUAACGGUUCGGCCGAGGACUCUAGUGAGACUGCCUUCGUAAGGAGGAGGAAGGUGAGGACGACGUCAAGUCAUCAUGGCCCUUACGGCUAGGGCAACACACGUGCUACAAUGGCCAGGACAGUGAGACGCAAUACCGCGAGGUGGAGCAAAUCUAUAAACCUGGUCUCAGUUCGGAUUGUUCUCUGCAACUCGAGAACAUGAAGCUGGAACCACUAGUAAUCGUAGAUCAGCUAUGCUACGGUGAAUACGUUCCCGGGUCUUGUACUCACCGCCCGUCACACCAUGGGAGUUGAUUUCACCCGAAGCGGGGAAGCUAAACUGGCUACCCUCCACGGUGGAAUUAGCGACUGGGGUGAAGUCGUAACAAGGUA